AAGCCGGCCAGUGAAUCUUUUUACCUGAAUGUGUUUCCGCAGAAAUUUAAAAAACGCUGGCCAUAGUAAUGCCAUGUUAUGAGCCUUAAAGACACUGAAGUCAUUAAGAUCCCUGGAAAUGACUACAAGA
ensembl:snoRNA